rnacentral:rRNA from 1 species
GAUGAACGCUGGCGGCGUGCCUAACACAUGCAAGUCGAACGGAGUCCAGCCUUUAAGACCUUCGGGUCAAAGAGGGGAAGACUGAGUGGCGGACGGGUGAGUAACACGUGGGCAACCUGGCUCAUAGAGGGGGAUAACAGAGAGAAAUUUCUGAUAAUACCGCAUAAGCACACCCUGCCGCAUGGCAGAGGGUGAAAAGAGAAUCGCUAUGAGAUGGACCCGCGUCUGAUUAGCCAGUUGGCAGGGUAAGAGCCUACCAAAGCGACGAUCAGUAGCCGAUCUGAGAGGAUGAACGGCCACAUUGGGACUGAGACACGGCCCAAACUCCUACGGGAGGCAGCAGUGGGGGAUAUUGCACAAUGGGGGGAACCCUGAUGCAGCGACGCCGCGUGAGUGAAGAAGUAUUUCGGUAUGUAAAGCUCUAUCAGCAGUGAAGAUAAUGACAGUACCUGAAUAAGAAGCCCCGGCUAACUACGUG